GUCCUCGUGGAUGAGGGAACUGAUGAAAACGGUGUGUGUACAGAAAUCAUCACCCCAGUGACGAACAGUCAGGGUGAGAAGAAGAAGCUCCCCUACCCCAGGAACCACUGGAAGAAUUGCCUGCCUUUGAGGGAGAAGAAGAGGCUCUGUCUGACACUGAGGUGAGCUCCCUUUCUUUAUCUCAGAUGAAAAUGCGGCUUCAUUUCUUUUUUCAGUCAAAGGCAGUUACAAAAUUCAGACCAUGUAUGUUAUAGCUGAUGUAUACAGUUUCCUUGGUUGGGGUAUGUUGAGGGAAAAUCAAUUACAACAGAGACCUGAUUCAUUAAAUCUUUCCCCAAAAGUUAGCAUCAAAUAACUACCGUCCUAAGAGCAGGCCCUUUCCCCAGCAGAAUAUUUUCCUCCUUGAAGCAGAAUUGUAUGAUACCUGUUUUAAAUUGGACCUGAGAAGUUUCCAGGAAAAGCUAGAUCCUUUCCCACUGAUGUCCUCUCAGGUUCCUUUGGGGACCAUCGAUGCAAGGACAGUUUCCCAGUUAGUUUUCUGAGGACAAAGAGGAAACAAAUGACCUGUGAGCCCAGAGCACAGGAAGCUUAGAUCCUCACACUGUCCUUAUUUUGUUUUUUCUCUAAUUGCAGGCACAAACAGUAGUCAUGCAAAGUUCUAUGUGUUAUGACAUCGACACUCCACCAAUGAACAAUCAGGUUUCUAUGUAUUAUGAGGUGAACACUCCACCAAUAAGCAAUCAGGUUGAAGAAGAUGGGAGAGCCACCGGAUUCCGGGUUCCUGGUGGGAAUGAGGGCUGGGGCUGUAGAGCAAGCGACUCUUGCCCAGUGAGGAGCAGUGCCAAGUACUGUGGUCCUGGAAGACACUACGUCACUGCAUCUCUGGGCAUCUUUGCUGGAGACGAAGUGGAGAUGCACCUGCUUUGGGGAGGUGGCUGGCGAGAAAGAGAGCGAAUGCGGGCCCCGCCCCGUGAGGCAAAGCUCACUUCCUGAUGGAGGAUGGGGCUGUGUGGCCUGAUUCUCUGUGGAGCUCCUGAGUCGAUGCCUCCCACCCAAAAAAUCACAGGUUAAAAGGUAAGAAAGAGGAUAACGGAAGUAGCCCGUGUGUAUCUAUUAAAAUAAUUAGCGCUGUUGCCCAAACUCAGCAUUUGCCCACGGGUGCCAAAUAGAAACAAGGAGACAAGAGUCUUGGGUGUAGAAGGAAAAAGAUAUCUUUUAUUGCUUUGCCGGGUAAAGGAGGCCACAGCAGGCUC
rnacentral:lncRNA from 1 species